UACCAAACCUUUUUGUCAGGGUGCUUCUCUAUCCGUUUUAGGAUAAACUUAUCUACAGAAGUGUCUGUUACUGUUUUGGAAGAGUAAUACUGUUCGCUUAUCCAUAUUUCCCCGUUCUGGGGAAGCCUAAUGGGUAAAUUAGAAGGACAACCUUUGUUUUAAAGGUAUACCUUCGCUUUUUAGAACAUUGAGGAUCUUAUGAGUUGAGCUUUUGUUACUUGAGACUUUAUCUCGGGCUCCAUACAAUAUGUUCGUAGUAAAGAUCCUCACAAUU
rnacentral:snoRNA from 1 species